CAGUCGCCGCGGGAACACGUAGGGUGCGAGCGUUAAUCGGAAUUACUGGGCGUAAAGCGUGCGCAGGCGGUUGUGUAAGACAGGUGUGAAAUCCCCGGGCUUAACCUGGGAACUGCGCUUGUGACUGCACAGCUAGAGUAUGGCAGAGGGGGGUGGAAUUCCACGUGUAGCAGUGAAAUGCGUAGAGAUGUGGAGGAACACCGAUGGCGAAGGCAGCCCCCUGGGCCAAUACUGACGCUCAUGCACGAAAGCGUGGGGAGCAAACAGGAUUAGAUACCCCCGUAGUCCCUGUCUCUUAUAA
rnacentral:rRNA from 1 species